GCCCCGGUAGUGUAGCCCGGUCAAUCAUCCUGCCCUCUCGAGGCAGUGACACGAGUUCAAAUCUCGUCCGGGGCA
rnacentral:tRNA from 1 species